CAAAGGAGUGAUCCGGCAGAGGAUGGACAUGCGGCGCAUUAGCUAGUCGGCGGGGUAACGGCCCACCGAGGCUACGAUGCGUAGGGGUUCUGAGAGGAAGGUCCCCCACACUGGUACUGAGACACGGACCAGACUCCUACGGGAGGCAGCAGUGAGGAAUAUUGGUCAAUGGGCGGAAGCCUGAACCAGCCAAGUCGCGUGAGGGAAGACGGUCCUAUGGAUUGUAAACCUCUUUUGCAGGGGAGCAAGGCGCGGUACGUGUACCGCGAAGGAGAGUACCCUGAGAAAAAGCAUCGGCUAACUCCGUGCCAGCAGCCGCGGUAAUACGGAGGAUGCGAGCGUUAUCCGGAUUUAUUGGGUUUAAAGGGUGCGCAGGCGGACUGUUAAGUCAGCGGUAAAAUGUCGGUGCUCAACACCGGCCGGCCGUUGAAACUGGCAGCCUUGAGCGAGCGAGAAGUAUGCGGAAUGCGUGGUGUAGCGGUGAAAUGCAUAGAUAUCACGCAGAACUCCGAUUGCGAAGGCAGCAUACCGGCGCUCAACUGACGCUCAGGCACGAAAGCGUGGGUAUCGAACAGGCUUAGAUACCCUGGUAGUCCACGCAGUAAACGAUGAAUGCUCACUGUCCGGGCCGUUUAAGGCCUGG
rnacentral:rRNA from 1 species